rnacentral:rRNA from 1 species
GACAGAGGGGGCAAGCGUUGCUCGGAAUCACUGGGCGUAAAGGGUGCGUAGGCGGGUCUUUAAGUCAGGGGUGAAAUCCUGGAGCUCAACUCCAGAACUGCCUUUGAUACUGAAGAUCUUGAGUUCGGGAGAGGUGAGUGGAACUGCGAGUGUAGAGGUGAAAUUCGUAGAUAUUCGCAAGAACACCAGUGGCGAAGGCGGCUCACUGGACUGGUAUUGACGCUGAGGUGCGAAAGCGUGGGGAGCAAACAGGG